UGCCUGCGGAAGGAUCAUUAACAUUAAUUUACUACACACUGUUUUUUUACAACAAAAAAAAUCUAUCUAAAAACAAUUCUUUACAAGAAAUUCUUAAAACUUUCAACAACGGAUCUCUUGGUUCUCGCAUCGAUGAAGAACGCAGCGAAAUGCGAUACGUAAUACGAAUCGCAGCUCUCGGAAUCAUCGAAUCUUUGAACGCACAUUGCACCAUUGGGUAUUCCCAAUGGUAUGCUUGUUUGAGCGAAUACUUCCCUAAUCCUCACGGAUUGUAUUGUGUUUGCACGAAAAUAAUGACGACAGUACUCUACAAAACGGUACCGUCAGUACACUCAUUUUUUUUCCUCAAAUCAAGUAGGACUACCCGCUGAACUUAAGCAUAUCAUAGGC
rnacentral:rRNA from 1 species